rnacentral:rRNA from 1 species
AAUGAACGCUGGCGGCGUGCUUAACACAUGCAAGUCGAACGAUGAAGUCUAGCUUGCUAGAUGGAUUAGUGGCGCACGGGUGAGUAAUGCAUAGGUAACGUGCCCCUUAGUCUGGGAUAGCCACUGGAAACGGUGAUUAAUACUGGAUACGCCUUCUUACUUAAUGUAAGUUGGGAAAGUUUUUCGCUAAGGGAUCGGCCUAUGUUGUAUCAGGUAGUUGGUGAGGUAAUGGCUCACCAAGCCUAUGACACAUAGCGGGUCUGAGAGGAUGAUCCGCCACACUGGUACUGAGACACGGACCAGACUCCUACGGGAGGCAGCAGUGGGGAAUAUUGCACAAUGGACGAAAGUCUGAUGCAGCAACGCCGCGUGGAGGAUGACACAUUUCGGUGCGUAAACUCCUUUUAUAUGAGAAGAUAAUGACGGUAUCAUAUGAAUAACCACCGGCUAACUCCGUGCCAGCAGCCGCGGUAAUACGGAGGGUGCAAGCGUUAUUCGGAAUCACUGGGCGUAAAGGGUGCGUAGGCGGUUUGGAAAGUCAGGUGUGAAAUCCUACAGCUUAACUGUAGAACUGCACUUGAAACUUCCAGACUAGAAUACUGAAGGGGCAGAUGGAAUUAGUGGUGUAGGGGUAAAAUCCGUAGAUAUCACUAGGAAUACCUAAAGCGAAAGCGACCUGCUGGGAAGUUAUUGACGCUGAGGCACGAAAGCGUGGGGAGCAAACGGGAUUAGAUACCCCGGUAGUCCACGCCCUAAACGAUGAAUGCUAGUCGUCGGAAAGCUCGUCUUUUCGGUGAUGCAGUUAACACAUUAAGCAUUCCGCCUGGGGAGUACGGUCGCAAGAUUAAAACUCAAAGGAAUAGACGGGGACCCGCACAAGUGGUGGAGCAUGUGGUUUAAUUCGAAGAUACGCGAGGAACCUUACCAGGGCUUAAAUGUAUAUUGACGUAUUUGGAAACAAGUAUUUCUUCGGACAAUUUACAAGGUGCUGCAUGGCUGUCGUCAGCUCGUGCCGUGAGGUGUCAGGUUAAGUCCUAUAACGAGCGCAACCCUUAUCUUUAGUUGCCAGCGAGUAAUGUCGGGGACUCUAGAGAAACUGCCUGCGUAAGCAGAGAGGAAGGUGGGGACGAUGUCAAGUCGUCACGGCCCUUACGCCCUGGGCCACACACGUGCUACAAUGGUAGGUACAGAGGGCAGCUACUUGGCGACAAGGUGCGAAUCUCAAAAACCUAUCUCAGUUCGGAUUGGAGUCUGCAACUCGACUCUAUGAAGCUGGAAUCGCUAGUAAUCGCGUAUCAGCCAUGACGCGGUGAAUACGUUCCCGGGCCUUGUACACACCGCCCGUCAAACAAUGGAAGCUGGGAGUGCCUGAAGUCGGUAACCGAAAGGAGCUGCCUAGGGUAAAACUGGUAACUGGUGUU